rnacentral:RNase_P_RNA from 1 species
UUUGGGCCGCGGGCAGUCGCCGUUGAAUGGCUGUUGUUUUCGAUUUCCGGAGCAAUGGUAUUCAUUGGAGGAAAGUCCGGACUGCACAGAGCAGGGAAUCCUUUUGAAAAGAAGGAUGCUGUGGACGAUAUUCCACGGAAAGGAUAGCGCAACAGAAAGAUACCGCCACGCUUCUCCGGAAACGUGGUAAGGGUGAAAUGGCGGGGUAAGAGCCCGCCGGGUGCCGGUGAGAGCCGCAUCGCAUGGCAAACCCUUCCCGCAGCAAGACCAAAUAGGGAAUGAGCCGUUGCUCGCGGCGUUAUGAAUUCCGGGUUCUGGUCGCACAGACAGAUGAUUGCCGUCCCGCUUGCGGGAUACAAAAUCCGGCUUACAGCGGCGCGAAACCU